CCUGGCUAAUAGCACAAGCAUGCCAGCGCUAUAUUUCAGAGAGAAGGAUUAGCUACACAACAUGUUUCAGCUCAACGGUGGGCCCAAGCAGCAAUAAGAGGACCGUCGUAUUUAUGUGCGCUUACACUGGCGUCUCUGGAGUACGGUGAAGAGUGCAAAGCCAGAACUGAGGGGGCCGUUAUGUGUCGAGGGAGCCAGACUCUAUUAGCAACUGUCUUGCCAAGAUCAGUGCCUCAGACACAUGCUGCACUAGACCUAAAUGCAAAUCCAAUGUCUGCUGCAGAGAGCUAUUCUCCAGAUGUGACUCUCCAACCGGCUUCUGGUGAAGGCCUUUACAUCUCAGGCCUCUUCUUUUCCCUGUGUGGUUAUUUAUGUGAUGGACACGUCUCAAAGUGUAAAUCCGGUCACCUUUAUGUCCAACAUGCUCUACGCCUGCAGGUCAGUGUCUGAGAAUUAUUUUUUAUUUCUUGUUCAUGCAAUAUUUUGGAAAUGAAAACUGCAGAAAACAUUUUCGUGUUGUUUUCAAGUUCAGAGCACAGUGUACUUCUGCACUUCUUAGUGUUACAUUCACACUGUAUAUAAUUCAGUGUUAUGAAAGUUAUGUCAUGAUUUCAGAAGCUCUUACCAAAAUAUCUUGUUUUGUUUUUUUCUCCAGCAUUCUACUAGACCAAGCUACCUUUCAUAGUCGUCAUGAACAAGAGAGUAUCGUCCUGAAUAUGAACGUCUGCACAGAGAGUUGGCUGAAGCUCAGAGUCAGAAACAACAGGAGCAGUUGGAACGCCUUUGGAAGGACAUGAGAGCAGUUCC